rnacentral:tRNA from 2 species
UGACGGCGCGGGCGAUGGCCACACGCUGCGCCUGUCCGCCGGACAGGUCGAUCGGGUAUCGGUCCAGGAAGUCCGCCGGUUCGAGGCCGGCCAUGGUCAG